GGAAUCUGGGAGGACCAUCUCCUAAGGCUAAAUACUCUCUAGUGACCGAUAGUGAACCAGUACCGUGAGGGAAAGGUGAAAAGCACCCCGGAAGGGGAGUGAAAUAGAACCUGAAACCGUGUGCUUACAAGUAGUCAGAGCCCGUUAAUGGGUGAUGGCGUGCCUUUUGUAGAAUGAACCGGCGAGUUACGAUUUGAUGCAAGGUUAAGCAGUAAAUGUGGAGCCGUAGCGAAAGCGAGUCUGAAUAGGGCGUUUAGUAUUUGGUCGUAGACCCGAAACCAGGUGAUCUACCCUUGGUCAGGUUGAAGUUCAGGUAACACUGAAUGGAGGACCGAACCGACUUACGUUGAAAAGUGAGCGGAUGAACUGAGGGUAGCGGAGAAAUUCCAAUCGAACCUGGAGAUAGCUGGUUCUCUCCGAAAUAGCUUUAGGGCUAGCCUCAAGUGAUGAUUAUUGGAGGUAGAGCACUGUUUGGACGAGGGGCCCCUCUCGGGUUACCGAAUUCAGACAAACUCCGAAUGCCAAUUAAUUUAACUUGGGAGUCAGAACAUGGGUGAUAAGGUCCGUGUUCGAAAGGGAAACAGCCCAGACCACCAGCUAAGGUCCCAAAAUAUAUGUUAAGUGGAAAAGGAUGUGGCGUUGCCCAGACAACUAGGAUGUUGGCUUAGAAGCAGCCAUCAUUUAAAGAGUGCGUAAUAGCUCACUAGUCGAGUGACACUGCGCCGAAAAUGUACCGGGGCUAAACAUAUUACCGAAGCUGUGGAUUGUCCUUUGGACAAUGGUAGGAGAGCGUUCUAAGGGCGUUGAAGCAUGAUCGUAAGGACAUGUGGAGCGCUUAGAAGUGAGAAUGCCGGUGUGAGUAGCGAAAGACGGGUGAGAAUCCCGUCCACCGAUUGACUAAGGUUUCCAGAGGAAGGCUCGUCCGCUCUGGGUUAGUCGGGUCCUAAGCUGAGGCCGACAGGCGUAGGCGAUGGAUAACAGGUUGAUAUUCCUGUACCACCUAUAAUCGUUUUAAUCGAUGAGGGGACGCAGUAGGAUAGGCGAAGCGUGCGAUUGGAUUGCACGUCUAAGCAGUAAGGCUGAGUAUUAGGCAAAUCCGGUACUCGUUAAGGCUGAGCUGUGAUGGGGAGAAGACAUUGAGUCUUCGAGUCGUUGAUUUCACACUGCCGAGAAAAGCCUCUAGAUAGAAAAUAGGUGCCCGUACCGCAAACCGACACAGGUAGUCAAGAUGAGAAUUCUAAGGUGAGCGAGCGAACUCUCGUUAAGGAACUCGGCAAAAUGACCCCGUAACUUCGGGAGAAGGGGUGCUCUUUAGGGUUAACGCCCAGAAGAGCCGCAGUGAAUAGGCCCAAGCGACUGUUUAUCAAAAACACAGGUCUCUGCUAAACCGUAAGGUGAUGUAUAGGGGCUGACGCCUGCCCGGUGCUGGAAGGUUAAGAGGAGUGGUUAGCUUCUGCGAAGCUACGAAUCGAAGCCCCAGUAAACGGCGGCCGUAACUAUAACGGUCCUAAGGUAGCGAAAUUCCUUGUCGGGUAAGUUCCGACCCGCACGAAAGGCGUAACGAUUUGGGCACUGUCUCAACGAGAGACUCGGUGAAAUCAUAGUACCUGUGAAGAUGCAGGUUACCCGCGACAGGACGGAAAGACCCCGUGGAGCUUUACUGUAGCCUGAUAUUGAAAUUCGGCACAGCUUGUACAGGAUAGGUAGGAGCCUUUGAAACGUGAGCGCUAGCUUACGUGGAGGCGCUGGUGGGAUACUACCCUAGCUGUGUUGGCUUUCUAACCCGCACCACUUAUCGUGGUGGGAGACAGUGUCAGGCGGGCAGUUUGACUGGGGCGGUCGCCUCCUAAAAGGUAACGGAGGCGCUCAAAGGUUCCCUCAGAAUGGUUGGAAAUCAUUCAUAGAGUGUAAAGGCAUAAGGGAGCUUGACUGCGAGACCUACAAGUCGAGCAGGGUCGAAAGACGGACUUAGUGAUCCGGUGGUUCCGCAUGGAAGGGCCAUCGCUCAACGGAUAAAAGCUACCCCGGGGAUAACAGGCUUAUCUCCCCCAAGAGUUCACAUCGACGGGGAGGUUUGGCACCUCGAUGUCGGCUCAUCGCAUCCUGGGGCUGUAGUCGGUCCCAAGGGUUGGGCUGUUCGCCCAUUAAAGCGGUACGCGAGCUGGGUUCAGAACGUCGUGAGACAGUUCGGUCCCUAUCCGUCGUGGGCGUAGGAAAUUUGAGAGGAGCUGUCCUUAGUACGAGAGGACCGGGAUGGACAUACCUCUGGUGUACCAGUUGUCGUGCCAACGGCAUAGCUGGGUAGCUAUGUGUGGACGGGAUAAGUGCUGAAAGCAUCUAAGCAUGAAGCCCCCCUCAAGAUGAGAUUUCCCAACUUCGGUUAUAAGAUCCCUCAAAGAUGAUGAGGUUAAUAGGUUCGAGGUGGAAGCAUGGUGACAUGUGGAGCUGACGAAUACUAAUCGAUCGAAGACUUAAUCAA
rnacentral:rRNA from 1 species